UAGCGGCAGGCUUAACACAUGCAAGUCGAGGGGCAUCGGGAGUAGCAAUACUGCCGGCGACCGGCGCAAGGGUGCGUAACGCGUGAGCAACAUGCCCGUAUCAGGGGGAUAAUCCAUGGAAACGUGGUCUAAUACCCCAUAGUAAUUAUGUAAGGCAUCUUAUAUAAUUUAAAGCUUUGGUGGAUACGGAUUGGCUCGCGUGACAUUAGCUAGAUGGUAAGGUAACGGCUUACCAUGGCUACGAUGUCUAGGGGUUCUGAGAGGAAGGUCCCCCACACUGGAACUGAGACACGGUCCAGACUCCUACGGGAGGCAGCAGUGAGGAAUAUUGGACAAUGGAUGGAAAUCUGAUCCAGCCAUGCCGCGUGCCAGGAAGACGGCCCUAUGGGUUGUAAACUGCUUUUGUAUGGGAGCAAUAAGGGCUACGUGUAGUCCGAUGAGAGUACCAUACGAAUAAGCACCGGCUAACUCCGUGCCAGCAGCCGC
rnacentral:rRNA from 1 species